GUGUUGUAUAAAAAGAGAGAAGGUUAGCACUUUCCCUGACAAGGAUGGAAGAGGCUCUGGAGCCUGACAACACUCACAGAGUUAAGGCAUUACCACCUCCUUCAUGAUAUCUAACCACUGUUUUUC
rnacentral:ncRNA from 1 species